UGGGGAAUUUUGGACAAUGGGCGAAAGCCUGAUCCAGCAAUGCCGCGUGUGUGAAGAAGGCCUUCGGGUUGUAAAGCACUUUUGUCCGGAAAGAAAUCCUUGGCUCUAAUACAGUCGGGGGAUGACGGUACCGGAAGAAUAAGCACCGGCUAACUACGUGCCAGCAGCCGCGGUAAUACGUAGGGUGCAAGCGUUAAUCGGAAUUACUGGGCGUAAAGCGUGCGCAGGCGGUUUGCUAAGACCGAUGUGAAAUCCCCGGGCUCAACCUGGGAACUGCAUUGGUGACCGGCAGGCUAGAGUAUGGCAGAGGGGGGUAGAAUUCCACGUGUAGCAGUGAAAUGCGUAGAGAUGUGGAGGAAUACCGAUGGCGAAGGCAGCCCCCUGGGCCAAUACUGACGCUCAUGCACGAAAGCGUGGGGAGCAAACAGGAUUAGAUACCCUGGUAGUCCACGCCCUGAAACGAUGUCAACUAGUUGUUGGGGNUUCAUUUCCUUAGUAACGUGCUAACCGUGAGUUGACCGCCUGGGGAGUACGGU
rnacentral:rRNA from 1 species